rnacentral:lncRNA from 1 species
AUAAGACUUCAAAAGGAAAAGCACAACUCACUAUCUUGAAAGAGCCUGCAGCAGGAAUGGAGACAUCCUCUCUCCUAGAAUCUGUGCUUCCUCCUUCCCUUGAGAAUGAAUGGACCCAACUUACCCAUUUCCCAGUUCAAAGUGGAUGCUGGCACAACUUGAUUUGUGGCGGGAAGACCCAAGGGUCAGCGGUGGAAGCGAGAAAGUCUAUGCCAGCAGGAUGAAGGAGCUGUGCUAGGGGGAUGAGGGUUCUACACUGGAGCCGAGAAGUCACACUCACAAUAAAGAGCAAGGCUGUCCUGAAAGGAACCACAGC